UGCCCCAUGGCUGAGUUGGUUACAGCGUCCGACUGUUAAUCAGAAGGUCGUGAGUUCGAGCCUCACUGGGGCAG
rnacentral:tRNA from 1 species